GAUGAACGCUGACAGAAUGCUUAACACAUGCAAGUCAACUUGAAUUUGGGUUUUUAACUUAGGUUUGGGUGGCGGACGGGUGAGUAACGCGUAAAGAACUUGCCUCACAGCUAGGGACAACAUUUGGAAACGAAUGCUAAUACCUAAUAUUAUGAUAAUAGGGCAUCCUAUAAUUAUGAAAGCUAUAAGCGCUGUGAGAGAGCUUUGCGUCCCAUUAGCUAGUUGGAGAGGUAACGGCUCACCAAGGCGAUGAUGGGUAGCCGGCCUGAGAGGGUGAUCGGCCACAAGGGGACUGAGACACGGCCCGUACGCCUACGGGAGGCAGCAGUGGGGAAUAUGGGACAAUGGACCAAGAGUCUGAUCCAGCAAUUCUGUGUGCACGAUGAAGUUUUUCGGAAUGUAAAGUGCUUUCAGUUGGGAAGAAAGAAAUGACGGUACCAACAGAAGAAGUGACGGCUAAAUACGUG
rnacentral:rRNA from 1 species